UACGUAGGGUGCAAGCGUUAAUCGGAAUUACUGGGCGUAAAGCGUGCGCAGGCGGUUCUAUAAGACAGAUGUGAAAUCCCCGGGCUCAACCUGGGAACUGCAUUUGUGACUGUAGAGCUGGAGUGCGGCAGAGGGGGAUGGAAUUCCGCGUGUAGCAGUGAAAUGCGUAGAUAUGCGGAGGAACACCGAUGGCGUAGGCAGCGCCCUGGACGACACCUGACGCUGAGGCACGAAAGCUGGGGGAGCAAACAGG
rnacentral:rRNA from 1 species